rnacentral:lncRNA from 1 species
AGAGACUGCAAAGCCCUCGCAAGCUCCGACCCAGCUGCCGGUCCUCCGCCAGGCUAGAUUGCAUUUUCGCAGUGUUGAUUUAAAAUGGUGUACUCGCUUCCCCCACGUUCCCCCACCCCCUUCCCCGCUCUCCUCCCACUCCUUCCAGCACACCCCCCCUCCAGCUUUUAUUAUAUUGGCACCAAUCUUUCCAAAGUGGGUCUGGCAUGCUAAAAAAGUAAACAUGUACUAUAUGGGGAAUAAGGUCUGUAUAGUAUGACAGUUGAAACUUGAUCUGUGAUAAAAUUACAGGAUGUUGAAAUUACUAGUAA